rnacentral:rRNA from 1 species
CACGUAGGGGGCGAGCGUUGUCCGGAGUUACUGGGCGUAAAGGGCAUGCAGGCGGUCCGACACGUUUUGUGUGACAGCGGGUGGCUUAACUACCCGAGGAUGCGAAAGACGGUUGGACUUGAGGACUCGAGAGGGACACGGAAUUCCGGGUGGAGUGGUGAAAUGCGUAGAGAUCCGGGGGAACACCGAAGGCGAAGGCAGUGUCCUGGCGAGUGACUGACGCUGAGGUGCGAAAGCCAGGGGAGCGAACGGG